rnacentral:lncRNA from 1 species
ACAACUUCAAAAAAAUCACAUCAACAAAGAUGGGCACACAACAAGUGAGGGAAGCUCGCAUUGUGUUCCUAAUACUAAUUGCAGUGGAAUAAACACACAUAUACUUCUAUUGGCAGCAACAAGGAGUAAGAAUGCACAAGAUAUCUAUUGAUUACAAUAGAAAUGAACAACCAUAGAAAAAAUCUGAUGACUAUUAGACAACCAUAUUUUUGUGCAUCCAAACCAUAGAAAAACUACAGAAUAGACAUAUUUUCAUACAUCCUAACCAUAGAAAAACUACAGAAUAGACAUAUUUUCAUACAUCCUAACCAUAGAAAAACUAUUAGACAACCAUAUUUUUGUGCAUCCAAAUAACAGAAUUGUACAAAUGUUAGAGAACAAGAACAAUGGAGAAUUUAGGAUAUUAAAUAAGACCAAAGAAUAUAGGUUAGUUGAGUUCUCAGAAUCUGAACUAACCCAUGCAUCAAUCUCAAACAAACUGACAGCAUAACCCACACAUCCUCUGAUCCACGCACCUUAAA